rnacentral:rRNA from 1 species
CCCCUAGUAACGGCGAGCGAACAGGGAAAAGCCCAAAACUGAAUCCUCCAUCUUCCGGUGGUUGGAAAUGUAGUUUUCGGGUGGGUCUCUAUCACUCAGUGCUAGUCUAUAGUUCGCGCGAUUGCGGCUUGCUCACAGAGGGUGUAAAGCCCGUUCGGACUAGUAAUUGUGUGAUGCUGAUUCACUCAAGAGUCGAGUUGUUUGGGAUUGCAACUCAAAUCGGGUGGUAAACUCCAUCCAAGGCUAAAUAUAGCACUAGACCGAUAGUAAACAAGUACCGUGAGGGAAAGUUGAAAAGAACUUUGAAGAGAGAGUUAAAUAGUACGUGAAAUCAUCCAGAGGUAAACGGGUAAAGCUGAAAUUGGAGAGUUGGUUGAUGUCUUUUGAGAUUACUGAUAAAAGCGGAUUUGUGGGCAAGAUAUAUUCUGUUUUAAGAUGUGCCUUGCUGCGAAGACUGCUUCUCAAUUGGCAGGCUCCACUUUCCGUAACCAUGAUCAAUGGCCUAGAGACUGGUCUGUUGACUGGUAGGAGGUAGCGAGUUAACUUUUUACGGGUUGGCUUGUGAUUACUGCUAGUCUAUCUGUCCAGUCGGCUAUUGUUCAAUUGCGACAUAAAGUCAGCACUGUCUGAUCUUGGUCUUUCAGAUGUUGGCGCACAAGUUUUCGACUGAUCACUACAAUCGGUAGAAUUGCUGGCGGUUUUGCGUCCAGUCGUUCACACUGGUUGCCCAGUUUUGAUGGUUGGCCGCUGUGCAUUGUGUCGACAAUCUAUGGUUGCUCGUGUGUAGGCUAUUUACCUGUCCCGUCUUGAAACACGGACCAAGGAGUGUAACUAACGUGCAAGUCAAUGGGCCGAACGAACCCCAAAGGCGAAAUGAAAGUGAAGGUUGGCGUUUUUGGUCAAUCGAGGUGAGAUCCUUGACACCACGGUGUUGGGGCGCAUCACCGGCUCAUUGUGUACUUGUUGUCACUGUGAGGCCAGAGCAUGUUGGUUGUGACCCGAAAGAUGGUGAACUAUGCUUGUGUAGGUUGAAGCCAGAGGAAACUCUGGUGGAGGACCGCAGCGGUUUUGACGUGCAAAUCGAUCGUCUGACAUGAGCAUAGGGGCGAAAGACUAAUCGAACCAUCUAGUAGCUGGUUCCUUCCGAAGUUUCCCUCAGGAUAGCUUGUACUCUGGUUUUUGAGUUUUAUCUGGUAAAGCGAAUGAUUAGAAGAAUUGGGGGCGAAAUGCCUUCAACUUAUUCUCAAACUUGAAAUGGGUGAGAGACUUCUCUCACUUAGUUUAAGUUGCUUGGAGAGAAGCCAGUUGAAUAUUCGAGUACAAAGUGGGCCAUUUUUGGUAAGCAGAACUGGCGCUGCGGGAUGAACCGAACGAAGUGGAUUAGGUGCCUAACAUUUCGCUCAUGAGACACCACAAAAGGUGUUGGUUGGUAUAGACAGCAGGACGGUGGCCAUGGAAGUCGGAAUCCGCUAAGGAGUGUGUAAUAACUCACCUGCCGAAUCAACCAGCCCUGAAAAUGGAUGGCGCUUGAGCGAUCGACCUAGACCACUCUGUCACGGCAAGUACAAACAUGGAAGCUGUGACAAGUAGGAAGGCGAUAUGGUUAGCAUUGAAGCCAGUCUCGCAAGAGUUGGUGGAGCGGCCAUUUGUGCAGAUCUU